rnacentral:rRNA from 1 species
AGUGAACGCUGGCGGUAGGCCUAACACAUGCAAGUCGAACGGCAGCACAGUAAGAGCUUGCUCUUACGGGUGGCGAGUGGCGGACGGGUGAGGAAUACAUCGGAAUCUACUUUUUCGUGGGGGAUAACGUAGGGAAACUUACGCUACUACCUAAUACGACCUACGGGUGAAAGCAGGGGAUCUUCGGACCUUGCGCGAUUGAAUGAGCCGAUGUCGGAUUAGCUAGUUGGCGGGGUAAAGGCCCACCAAGGCGACGAUCCGUAGCUGGUCUGAGAGGAUGAUCAGCCACACUGGAACUGAGACACGGUCCAGACUCCUACGGGAGGCAGCAGUGGGGAAUAUUGGACAAUGGGCGCAAGCCUGAUCCAGCCAUACCGCGUGGGUGAAGAAGGCCUUCGGGUUGUAAAGCCCUUUUGUUGGGAAAGAAAAGCAGCAGGUUAAUACCCCGCUGUUCUGACGGUACCCAAAGAAUAAGCACCGGCUAACUUCGUG